rnacentral:pre_miRNA from 1 species
AGUGGAAUUUCUGGGUCAUAUGGUAAGUCUAUGUUUAACUUUUUGAGGAACCGCCAGACAGUUUUCCAAAGUGGCUACACCAUUUUACAUUCCCACCAGCAAU